GUGGGGAAUAUUGGACAAUGGGCGAAAGCCUGAUCCAGCCAUGCCGCGUGUGUGAAGAAGGUCUUCGGAUUGUAAAGCACUUUAAGUUGGGAGGAAGGGCAGUAAGUUAAUACCUUGCUGUUUUGACGUUACCGACAGAAUAAGCACCGGCUAACUUCGUGCCAGCAGCCGCGGUAAUACGAAGGGUGCAAGCGUUAAUCGGAAUUACUGGGCGUAAAGCGCGCGUAGGUGGUUUUGUAAGUUGGAGGUGAAAUCCCCGGGCUCAAACUGGGAACUGCCUCCAAAACUGCAUGACUAGAGUACGGUAGAGGGUAGUGGAAUUUCCUGUGUAGCGGUGAAAUGCGUAGAUAUAGGAAGGAACACCAGUGGCGAAGGCGACUACCUGGACUGAUACUGACACUGAGGUGCGAAAGCGUGGGGAGCAAACAGGAUUAGAAACCCUGGUAGUCC
rnacentral:rRNA from 1 species